rnacentral:tRNA from 1 species
GCCGCCUUAGUUCAGUGGCAGAACGCCAUCCCCGUAAGAUGGAUGUCCCCAGUUCGAUUCUGGGAGGCGGCUCCA